CUCUUCAAGCCAAAGAAAAAGAGGUGUACCGAACGGAACACGCUACACGCGCACAGAGUCGAGGAAACUAGGGGAACUUGGGGCGUAGGGUUUUUGAUCGAAAUCUUCUGGAUCUCGUGGGUAGUUAGGUGGCGAUCCUUCUGGUCUCAUCCUCUCUCUCAUUGGAACCUGUUUUCUUCCUUCCCUCGUCAUGAUUUGAAGCUCAUGGUUGGGUACAGCUUCGAUGGAGAAAAUUUUGAUUUACUACAGAGUGAAAGCUUCAAUUAUAAAUCUUCUCUCUCCAUCAGUCGGUUUGGUUGGGAUUAAGAUCAAUUUGCAUCGUUUCUUUCUGUAUCGGACAGCGUCGGAGGAGAUGCAAGUGGUUAAAAGCCAUUUGCUUCGACCCAAGCCAUGGCGGCACCCAAAUCUUAACAUGGUAAGAUUUUGUCCAGCAAGAAUAAACAAUGUAUAGAAACCAUCAGUUUGAAAAUUCUAAUCCAGUCUCUUUUUUCUUUUGGAAUCCUUGAUUUUACACGUUCAUAUACUUGUUCCUAUUUUUGCUUGAAUAUUCAUGUGCAAAUACCAAGUAUAUGUUCAGCCAUAUAUCAGUGGCUACUACCAGUCUGUUUCUGUUGUUUAUGAUAUCAAGCAUACUGUAUCUUCGUUGUUUUAGUUUUGGUAUCUCAAAUCCUGAAGGCGCAAGGCUAAUGGUAGUGUGUAGAAUUCAAUUGUUACUGUUAUGUCUGUUUACUAGCUGGCCUUGAACCAAGUAUCCCAAACCUUUCCCUCUAUUUCUCACCACCAAAUUUUACUCCUUUUAUAGUAGAAAAGAAGCCUAAACGCUGCAAUGUGAUCUACUCGUCCUUUCAUUCUCCAGCCUAUAUGUUUAGAAAGUGGGAAAAUAACUUGUUUUAGCAUCUAUUGAGAUUGUUAAUGUAUUCUGAUGGAUGCUGGUCUCUUACUUUUUUUGUUGUCAUGUACACAUGUCUUUUUAAUAAACAUGCAAUCGCCUUGGCCAUCUAUGCAAAAUGUAUUUUAUUUUACCAAAAGCUAUGAAUAGAGUACUGUUGAAAAGUGUAUCAGAAGAGAGAGUUACCUUUGCUGGAAAUUCUUGGCCAUCUCUUGGAAGGUAUAUUUUUUAUGGGGUUGCUCAAAUUUAAUGUAGUUGAGCAAUUUCUCUCAUUCUUAUUUUGUAUGAGUUUGUGUAGUUAUAAAUUUCCUCAACAUGUUGUUUGGAGGUUACAAUGAUCGACUCAGCUCUCUGCUCCAUCAGGUUCGUUUAUUUGACCACUAUUCACCGCAUUAUUGUGAUCUUGAAUGGUUAGUAUCCCCGUACUUGUGAAAGUUAAACAAAAUGAGAUACCAUUGUGAAUAUCUGUUCUGGAUAUUGGUCUCUUUGUGUUUAUUUUUAUUAUUUUUUUCUCAGGUGGAUUCUUUUCUCAGGUGCAUUAUACAUGUUUGCUUCAUGCAGGAUUAACAGACUGAACUCUGCGAGUUAUCUUUCUUUAAUAAGGCAAUAAUAAUGUAAAACUGAUUAUUACUGAGAAUGAAUCUUCUUCGUCUUCUUCGACAACAGUUUGUACGCUUCUUCUUUUCUUACUAGUCCUACAUGGCUUUAUCAGAGCCCUGAUCAAUCUCAAGUCUUGUAGAUAAGGGGAGCUUGCACUGGAAGGAGCUCAUUAUUUGACAACCGCGGAGGUCGUGAGUCUCAGUGAGCAGCAGCUUGUGGACUGUGAUCAUGAGGAAGUGAGAGGCUUGUCUUGUUAAGCUUUCAUGAACAAGAGCUAAAGCUGCUAGUAUAUGCUUUUGCCUUUGAAAUAUAGGUUUGGAUCUUUUCCUUCAAGUCUGAGAAUAAUGAACUACCAAGAGAGUUUUGUCCUGUAAACCAUAUGUAAACCAUGUUUGCUGCAAUAAAAGUUAUUUCUUCUGUUCCAAAAUC